rnacentral:rRNA from 1 species
AGGGUUUGAUCAUGGCUCAGAACGUACGCUGGCGGCACGCCUAACACAUGCAAGUCGAACGCAGUAGCAAUACUGAGUGGCAAACGGGUGAGUAUAAUGUGGGAAUCUGCCUUUUGGUUUGGAAUAACACGGGGAAACUUGUGCUAAUACCGAAUAAGCCUUCACAGGGAAAGUUUUAACGCCGAAAGAUGAGCCUGCACUUGAUUAGCUAGUUGGUAAGGUAAAAGCUUACCAAGGCAACGAUCAAUAGCUGUUCUUAGAGGAAGACCAGCCACAUUGGGACUGAGACACGGCCCAGACUCCUACGGGAGGCAGCAGUGGGGAAUCUUGCACAAUGGAGGAAACUCUGAUGCAGCGAUGCCGCGUGAGUGAAGAAGGCCCUUGGGUUGUAAAGCUCUUUCGUCGGGGAAGAAAAUGACUGUACCCGAAUAAGAAGGUCCGGCUAACUUCGUGCCAGCCGCCGCGGUAAUAC